rnacentral:rRNA from 1 species
UGGGGAAUAUUGGACAAUGGGGGCAACCCUGAUCCAGCAAUGCCGCGUGUGUGAAGAAGGCCUGCGGGUUGUAAAGCACUUUUGGCAGGGAUGAAAAGCACUGGAUUAAUAACCCAGUGUGUUGACCUAACCUGCAGAAGAAGCACCGGCUAACUCUGUGCCAGCAGCCGCGGUAAUACAGGGGGUGCGAGCGUUAAUCGGAAUUACUGGGCGUAAAGGGCGCGUAGGCGGUCGAGUAAGUCGGAUGUGAAAUCCCCGGGCUUAACCUGGGAAUUGCAUUUGAGACUGCACGGCUAGAGUGUGUCAGAGGGGGGUAGAAUUCCACGUGUAGCAGUGAAAUGCGUAGAUAUGUGGAGGAAUACCGAUGGCGAAGGCAGCCCCCUGGGAUAACACUGACGCUCAUGCACGAAAGCGUGGGGAGCAAACAGGAUUAGAUACCCCCGUAGUCCCUGAGCGGGCUGGCAAGGCGCAU